AAAUACAGUAGUAAAUUAAAUUACUCCGGUAAAAAUAAAUAUACUAGGAUAUAUUUACCUCCACAACACAAAUUUGAUUCCAGGGAGUAAAUAUAUAUUAUCAAUGACCUGGAGUAGCCUCAUCAUAGUGGUCCUAUUUCCGCAUUUAAUUAUUUAAUUACAUAUAGUAGUAAUGGAUUUUAUCUAGAUAAAUUAUUUAGAUAGGCAGAUAUAUUAUGAUAUUUUAACUUAUCU